ensembl:snRNA U6 U6 spliceosomal RNA
UGCUCAGUUUUGCAGCAAUAUAUUAAAAUUGGAACAAGCAGAAAAGAGUAGCAUGACACAUGCUCAAGGAUGACAAACAAAUUUGUGAAGCAUUCCAUACUUUA